rnacentral:rRNA from 1 species
UACAGAGACUGCAAGCGUUAUUCGGAUUCACUGGGUGUAAAGGGUGCGUAGGCGGGAAGGCAAGUCAGAGGUGAAAUCUCACGGCUCAACCGUGAAACUGCCUUUGAUACUGCUUUUCUUGAGUUAGGGAGAGGUUGAUGGAAUUCCGAGGUGUAGCGGUGAAAUGCGUAGAUAUCUGGAGGAACACCGGUGGCGAAGGCGGCAUCCUGGACCAAUAUUGACGCUGAGGAGCGAAAGCCAGGGGAGCAAAGCGGGGAU